AUCUGUUCUGAGCAGCUCUGGGCUGCAGACGCUGCCAUCCCACCGGUCUCCCCCUGGGCCGAGGGCAUACUGGGCGGGAAGCGAUUUCACGCGAGGGCCGCGGCGCCCGCCCCCGGCUGGCCUUUCUCCCCUGAUCUGGCGCCCCGGGCGUCCCGCGGCUCGGGGUGAGGGCGUUUAAGUGACCGGUGGCAGCUCGCGCUUCCCGGAAGGGCUCUGGCGGUGACUCAGGGCCGCCUCUCGAGGGGGCUCUCCGCGGGGAGGGCGCCGGGGCUGGUCGGGGGGCCUUCCCCUCACGGUGGGCUUGGCAGCGCCGGCGCCCGCGCCGCGGCAUCGAGUGACCGAGCGCACGCCAGGCCUCACGGCGCUCGGCCGGGGGACGGCCGCGCCCAGCUCCGCCACCGGACAUGGGCGACGCCUGGCUGGGCUGCCGAGGGCGGGAGCGAAACCAUUUCAUCGCGGCCCAGCGGGAGGGGCACGCCCGCCCCGUCACUUCGAGGAAGCCGGAGCCUGACAGGCCGCGCACGAGCCGGAAGGGCGGCGAGUCAGGGACCAUCCUGCGCACGCGCGGCGCCCCUCCCGCACCCGGUCGCGUUGAGCGGCUCCCUCCGCCAGCUGCCGGAUCUAAGUCGUCGGCCUUCGCCGCCGCCGGCCUGCCGCCCCCGCGCCGCCCUGACGCAGCCGGCCCGCCCUUCGCCCCCGCGGCGCCGGCUUCUUGUGACGUCGCAGCCCAGCCCUCGCGCUUCGUCCCCCGAGCGCGGCGGGGCGGCGGGGCGGCGGGGCGGCGGGGCGGCGGGGCGGCGGGGCGGCGGGGCGGCGGGGCGGGCGGGCGCUCGUGACCUGUCGGAAGCUCUGUGGGGAAGGACCCGUCUUUUGUAAUUUCCUACGGUUUCCUAAUAAGGGUGAAAAUGCGGGCACCUCUGAACUUGCAAGCUGGGAGUUCUGAUCCAAAAAUGUAAUCUUAACCAACCAGUCUGGAAUUUUCUGGUCAAGCAGUAGUAAGGUGAUCUGUUGCAUAGGCCGUCUCCAUCCUCCAGAGGAAGAAGAGGUAAUCUGGGUGGUAAAACCCAUGCCAGUUCCCUCCCCAAGAAGAGGUCCUGGCCCAAACUAACCCUCUCUUUUCAUUUGCUAAUGACUUCCUUGGCCCACCCUUCUUCCUAUAAAAACCAUCCCUUUUGUACAACACCUGGGAGUGCCCUUCUACUUUCUAGAUGGAAUACUGCUCCAUUCAAGAAUUGCUUCAUAAAGCCAAUUAGAGCUUCAGAUUUACUUGGUUGAAUUUUGUUUUUAACAGGUUUUUUAGAUUCCACAGGUAAGUGAUAGCACACAGUAUUUGUCUUUCUCUGACUUUCUUCGCUAGCAUCAUGCCCUCAAGUUUCACCCAACUUGUCACAAACUGCAAAAUUUCCUUCUUUCUCAUGGCUGAAUAGUAUUCCUAGAUAGAUAGAUAGGUAUUGGACAUGAAUAAGAAGAUGUGACAUAUAUGUGUCACAUCUUUAUUCAUUCAUCCAUUGAUGGACACUUAGGUUGUUUGCAUAUCUUGGCUCUUGUGAAUAAUGCUGCAGUGAACAGGGGAGUGCAGAUGUCUCUCUCAGAUCCUGAUUUCAAUUCCUUUGGCGAUAUUCCCAGAAGUGGGAUUGCUGGACCAUAUGGCAGUUCUAUUUUUAAUUUUUAGGAACCUCCAUACUGUUUUCCCUGUGGCUCUAUCAAUUUGCGUUCCCACCAACAGUGCACAAGAGUACUCUUUUCUUCACACCCUUGCCAAGGCUUGUUAUCUGUGGUCUUGUUUUUUGGGGGGGGGGGGAGGGGAGGGGGGAGAAGAUUAGCCCUGAGCUAACAUCUGCUGCCAAUCCUCCUCUUUUUGCUUAGGAAGACUGGCCCUGAGCUAACAUCCGUGCACAUCUUCUUCUAUUUUAUAUGUGGGACACCUACCAUAGCACGGCUUGCCAAGCACUGCCAUGUCCGCACCCGGGAUCCAAACUGGCGAACCCCGGGCCACCGAAGUGAAACGUGCGCACUUAACCUCUGUGCCACCAGGCCGGCCCCUUUCUUGUCUUUUUGAUGAUUACCAUUCUAACAGCAUCACUGAUGAGCCAUGUGGAGGUCCAUGCCUGGAAUCCAAACCCAUGAACCCCAGGCUGCUGAAGCGGAGCAUGCGAACUUAACUGCUACACCACAGGGCGGCCUCUCUUCUCUUCUUAUAAGGACAUCAGUCAUUGGAUUUAGCAUCUAUCUUAAUCUGAUGUCGCCGCAUGUUUUCCCUUAGAAGAGGACUUCCUCAUCUCCUAACUAGUUCAAUAUGCCGCACUCUGUCCUGGGAAUGGAUGUUCCACCCGUCAAAGCGACUCAGUGUGUGUUCGCGCCAUCUAGUGGACAACUCGGAUUUAGCACCGCGGGCUUUACGUCUGACCGGGCGCCUCCCGAAAGCACGGAAAGAGCCAGAAAGCGGCACUACUGUGUCCUCGGUGUCUCUAUGCAGAAUCUCCCCAAAGAGAAGUGUCUCCUCUAUUAUGUGGAAAGAAAACACACACAUUUAUUUUGUAGUUUAUUUUAUUACCUAUUUUAUUUCAUCUUUAUGACUUUCUUCGUCUUGCCGUUGAAAUUUAAAAUGUUUCCUAAUAUCCUUGUGGGAGAUGAUAAAAAUAACUCAUAUAGCUGUUCUCCUUUCUUUAUAACAGUGUUUUUAUUCAGCAAGGAUUGGAUUCUAUUUCUUUCUCCUCUGGGAUGUUUCCCUAGUCCACGGCUGACCUUUCUUAGGAAUUAAUUGAAAAGGAAAUGGCGGAUACCAUUCAGCCCCUGGGCCUGGUAAACCAGUAGAGGCCAGGCUUGGAGGUCGCCGGGGCCAGCUGAGACAAGCUGCCAGGGAACUCUGCUGCUCUGUGUUAGGAAGACUUCUUGUUACCCUGGUAAAGUGAAAAGACAUGAGCGACCCAGUCUAUCAAUCUUACUCUCAAUAAUUUACUUAAAAACAAACAAACAAACAAACAAAAAACCCUGAUCUGAAGAUUCAGGCAGAAAUUUAAAACUACUUCUCUCUUUUCAUAACUCCAAAAGGAUUUUGUGUCUGUAGCUGUAGAACCUGCUGUAGGUGUUCCUAAGCCUCAAUUCAGCCAACUCCUGAGAGUUCCCACACUGUCAAAAUGUGUGACCCGCCAGUGCUUGGGCCAGGCGUAAACCGAUUAAGUUUUUAAAUAGAUCAAGUGUGAGCUGAAACCUGCUACCUAAUUUAAAUGCCAUCUAGUGGCCGAGUGUCAUUUUUAGUUCUCAAUCAAAAUGGUUUUGGUGCCUUGUAGUAUUUUCCUUAGGGUGAUUUACCAAAUAGAGCUGCUUCUGCUCUUGGAGUGAAGGGAAUUGAAAUAUUUCCUCAUCAUAAAAGAUGUUUAACAGCUUACAGUGUGCCUAAGUCCCUGCUCUUUAUUCUAGGCACGUAUGCUUAUCUGGCUGCAAAACAGAGAGUUGUAACUUGGUUUGGCUACUAGGUCAUUAAAUAGCACCAGUAUUUAAUUAUGAUUUAUUACUUUAAAACUGAAAAAUAAAAAGAAGAAUAGAUGUAAUGUCAGGUGACUAGUGUAGGAACAAAAUUCUAAAUAUUGAUGGUCAGAGGAGUUAAAGAAUCAACCUUCAGUCUCAGAAAAUUGAAGAACUGUGAGAGAGACACGUCGUUUGUCUGAAAGUGAAUGUCAUGGACAAGCAAAUUAGUGUGACAAUAAUAACAGUGGUGGUGGCUGCAGCAGCUAACGUGUUUUCCGCUGAAUGCUGGACAGUGUUCUGAGUGCACUGCUUGUAUCGACUCAUUGGCUCUGCAAACAACAUCAUGAAUUCAGUACUAUCGUUACACCCAUUUUAUAGACAAAAUCGAGGCACAGAGAGGUUAAGUUGCGUGUCCACUAGUGAGAGGCUGAGUAGGGAUCAGAAUAUUUGGAGUGUCCUUUGGUCUCUUGGCUGGUUUGGAUUUUGGUUAGUCCUGCUUUGGUCGAAGGAUCCUUGGAGAAUCGUGAAAACCCCUUUCGUACAACCCGGGCACGGUCUGAGCUGGCCUCCAGGUGGGGUUUGGGGUUUUGGCUCAGGGAUGAGGUAGAGCAAACAGGGCUGUCUCCGGUGUCUGACCAGGUCGGCUUUGGUCAGACCCUCUGCUCCUCUGGCUCUGUGGAGUCAGCUGCCCCUGGAGGGUUGACAGUAGAUUUCCCUUUUGUGUAAUUGUUGUCUGGGGUUUUUGGUGACCUGCUUCCCCAGCAUUUUUCCACAGAGAGUAGAGAGUUGAUUGACUUGAGUGUGACCAAACUAGCUGUGGUUAUGCAAUAAGUAGGACAUCGUUAAGGAUUUUUCUUCUUGUUGGUCCCAAAUCUGGUUCUAUUCUUUCACUUCAGGCAUGUGACCAUCUAAAGCCUCAAAGAUAACAAAUGUGGACGAGCUGAUCACACAUGGCCACACCUUCAGGGCAAAGGUUCCUGGAUAUCACUAGAGCUCUGCAUACCGAAAAUGGUGUAAAUUCCAGACCCUGCCCAGAUGAACUGCGUCUAAAGUUACAAAUAACAUAUAUAGUGGCCAAAUUCAUUGACCGGAACUGUUUUCACAAGAAAGAUGCUGAUCAAAACAGAGUUGAACAGAAGAUGGAGUAGAAGAAAGGGAAAAUGAAUGAUUCAGUUAUUGCUAACUUGUAGGAAAUAAAUAUUUGGUAAAUAAGAAACGAACUUUUGAGAGAAAAACGUUAAUUCACUGAGAAAUAAGGAUAAUGAAUUCAUUUUAAUUGUCUGCCUAAUUUCAUACAUGUAACCUACUUCUUUCCUUGAUGUCAUAUUAUCAUGGGAUCUUUAUAAGGGACCUUGAAAUUUCAUGUGACACAUUUCAGUGAUUGCAGGUCAGAACUCAUUUCAUCCAUCCAGGGAAGUGAGAGUCUAUCUGCUCUCAAAGAAUUAGGAAGAAAGGGAUUCCAACCUGAUGGGGAAACGAAAUGAUAAGGAUUAUGAGAAUGAUCGGAUGGGGAGGGGGGCUUUUUCUGUUGCCCCGGAUUUGAAAGAAGGCCCAGAGCUAAAAACGGUAAUGGGGAUCUGAAACUUUCUCCAAAGUUUUUCUAAGGGGCUGGGCCUCAGUCCCCACCUACACCCCCUGCCCCUUAACACCCAGUCCAGGGUCUACAGAAGAAGCCUGAGGAGAAGUGAGGUGGGCCGUUCCUCCCCUCCCACUGGGGAGGGACUUCUCCUGACUCCCACUGCCUAGUAACGAAAGAGGCUCUGACAGUGGCUUUCAGGGCUGAGCCUGGUCACCUCUGCUUAGGUAGCAGACUUGCUGGGCUGCCAUUCCUCCCCGAGCCGAGAAGAUGGAAGCUGGGGAGACCUGGCUGGCCCGGUGGAAUUGGCGACCGUGGAGCAGCCAGCUUGCCCGCCUAUUAUGUCGCAUGACCAGGGUGCAGGAAAUUCCUUAGGACCAGAGGACGUAAGGAAGGCAGCUAUCCUUGAGCUACCUGGCUAUACGCCCCCCACAACCCCAAAGACUGUGCACCACGAUUUGGGUAUAUUAUUGGGCUAGUUGAGGGGUGGGUGGGAGAGGUCCAGCUAGAGCUGAAUCUUCCGUAUUGGGGGACUGCACACUGGGAAGACCCGUCUGGCUAAAUUUCACAUGUGUUCCCCAUGAGGCAGAGUUCAGAUGCUGGCAUGCACACUCAGAUCGCCGGAGAAGCAGAGCAGUCAACAGAGCGGGGGCCACAGCUGUCUCUUUCCUUCCCUUUCUUCCUGACUCCGAUCCUGAGGGAGCCAGGCCUGGGAGGGGGAAGAAGGAGUGUCUCAGAGCCUGGACUCCCUCCAGCCUCAUCUCACUCUAAGCAGUCAGGG
ensembl:lncRNA